CUCAUGUCUUCAAACCUAAUCUCAUUCUUUCUUUUUGCUCAGCCACAAACACAAUCACGAUUCUUCUACUCGUGUAUCUUCUUCUCGAUUCUACUCAAUGAUUCUUCUACUCGAUUCUACUCAACAACUCUUCUCAUUUCUUUGUUUUUCAUUAAAACCUAAUUCACCUAAUUGCAAGAUAAACACACGCAUCUAGAUCUCUGAUUUUCAGCCUUUCUCUCUCUUUUUUGUGCGGAGAUUCAUCACAAUCAAGAGAAGAAUCAAUGGCGGAUGAACCUUCAAUCACUCGCAGGUCGUUUGAGAUUGCAGAGGUUUGGUCCACCUCUUCUGCUACAGAUGUGGUCCGCAGACUGCGGACAUUUUACCUCUGAAAGUGAGGCUCUUAAUGGUUCUGACUUCUUACUGGUUCAACACUUAAUGGUUCAAACUCUUUGUUUCGUUAGUAGAUGUCUAAAUCGUUAAGUCUGAAUUGUUAAAGACCUCUAAUCUAAAUUGGUCAAACAUUUAGACAUUUGCUUCUGAACGGUUAAGAAUUAUAUUGGCUCUUAACGAUUCUGACAUCUUACUAGUUCAGCACUUAAUGAUUUAGAUUUCUUAUUGUUUCAACACUUAACCAUUUAGAAAUUGCCAAACAUCCUCUAUGUCUUAUAAUUUAUAAAUAAUAAAAAUAAAAAUAAUAAUAGUAAUAAUAAUUUCGUUAGGUGAGUAUAAGAGAGGACACAUGACUAAAACUUUAUGAACGGGUCGAUGUUCACACACGCUUUGGACAAUGUCCAGUUAGUUCCUUCACAAGUCACAAACAAACAAACCGUAAUGUUCCAAGCAAAUAGGAAAAAUUUACAUUCCAAAUUGUUAAAUUUUGACAGCAAACAAAGUAACAUAAAACCAAAAACACUAGAUACAUAUAAAAUUGUAGCAAAAAAAGGUUAAACAGUCGGGUCGAUGAGUUCCCCAUUUAAGAACUCACGGUAAGCCGCAACAGGCCAACUGAACCCACGAAAUACCAACUUAGAAGCCAAAGGAACAUCGAUGAUAAUCUCUUUUUGUGUAGGCUUCUUUUCAUCCCUAAUAGCAAUCAAGUAACUCCUUCCAACCCACCCGAUCCAUCCA